rnacentral:rRNA from 1 species
UACGAAGGGUGCAAGCGUUAAUCGGAAUUACUGGGCGUAAAGGGUGCGUAGGCGGUUGUUUAAGUCUGCCGUGAAAUCCCCGGGCUCAACCUGGGAAUGGCGGUGGAUACUGGGCAGCUAGAGUGUGUCAGAGGAUGGUGGAAUUCCCGGUGUAGCGGUGGAAUGCGCAGAUAUCAGGAGGAACACCGGUGGCGAAGGCGGGAUCCUGGGCCAGUACUGACGCUGAAGCACGAAAGCGUGGGGAGCAAACAGG